rnacentral:rRNA from 1 species
CCUACGGGUGGCAGCAGUGGGGAAUAUUGGGCAAUGGGCGCAAGCCUGACCCAGCAACGCCGCGUGAAGGUCAGUGCCCUAUGGGCGUUAAACUUCUUUUGUGCGGGAGCAAUAAUGGUCACGUGUGGCCAGACGAGAGUACCGUACGAAUAAGCAUCGGCUAACUCCGGGCCAGCAGCCGCGGUAAUACGGGGGAUGCAAGCGUUAUCCGGAUUUAUUGGGUUUAAAGGGUGCGUAGGCUGGGAGGUAAGUCAGCGGUGAAAUGCCCCCGCUCAACGGGGUGAAGUGCCAUUGAUACUGCCUGGCUGGAAUGCGGAUGCCGUGGGAGGAAUGUGUGGUGUAGCGGUGAAAUGCAUAGAUAUCACACAGAACACCGAUUGCGAAGGCAUCUCACGAAUCCGCGAUUGACGCUGAUGCACGAAAGCGUGGGUAUCAAACAGGAUUAGAUACCCCUGUAGUC